GUUCUACUCCCUCCGUCCAAAAAUACUUGUCAUCAAAAUGGAUAAAAAGAGAUGUAUCUAGAACUAAAAUACGUCUAGAUGCAUCCCCUUUUAUCCAUUUUGAUGACAAGUAUUUCCGGACGGAGGAAGUACUUA
rnacentral:pre_miRNA from 1 species